GUUUUUUUAAAUAGCUUGAUGAGUUGAAGAGCAAGGAGAAAUUUGGUGAUGUUAUAAGAAAUGGAGGCAGAAAGUAACUGGAGAUGCAGCUAAGAUGUGGAGUAAAGGCCAGGUCAGCAAGGGUCUUGCAUGAUGUCAUGCUAAGGAGGUCAGACUUUCUCCUCACUAUGAUUGGGAGGGCUUUUAAUCAGGGAGAUCAGAUUUGCAUAAUUAGAAUUAUGGAAGAUGGAUUGGAAAAAAGAGGAAGGACUAGAAGAAGGUAUACUAGUUAGGAAUACUAUUUCAGGACCUGAAUUAAAACAGUAGUGAUGGGAAUUAAGAAUGAGAAGAUAGAAUUGAAAGAAUGUAGAGAAACAAUGGACAGAACUUGAUGACAGAAAUGAGAGGUUUCUGCUUCAGACAACUGGGUGACAGGGAAUACUGUUAUCUGAAAUAGAGGAGAAGCAGAUUUAAAGAUGGGUAGAGCAGGGUUCUCCCUGCUGCUUUUCUGAAUCACUUCCAUCUUCAUGUUUCUCCCCAAAUCUGACCUAUCCUACAGAAUGCAGGAAUUCUGGUGAAUAAAAUUCUCCAUCUGGUUACACUUCCUUUGAACAAAUAUUUAGUGAAUGCCUGCUGUGGUCUGAGAGCUCUGCUAUGAAUAAUCUCGUACAUUUGGCAAAGACCAACAAAUGAAACUUCUCAUUUGAAAGAGGCUCUGCAGUUAAAUUUCGGUUCUAAUAUCCUACACAGCACUUUCCUGGCACCCUGUGAGAUGGAGGAGGAGCAGGCACCAAGCAGAUUUCUGGAAAUCAGUGACCACAAGCUAUGUUUUCAGAGAGGGACCCAAUGAUGUAAACAAGCCAACUCAUUUGCUUGCUGAAGGGUGGAUAGACACUUGCUGGUUGGCAGAAGAUCAAGGAAGAAAAAGUCCCCUUGCUCCCCACCACCCAUAUGAAUACCGCUUGGAACAGCUUCUGAAUGGCUGGGGGACAGAGAGUGGUUGGUUUUAACAGCACCAACCACAGCUACCCUUUAUGAUGCGACUACUACCUUACUGUUGUUUCACUAAAUCCCCCACAACAAUGUUAUAAGGUCAAAUUAUUUUGGUCAUGCUUUAAGAAAUUCUGGAGUCUGGAGUUCAUUUGUUGGAAUAGACCCAAAUGACUUCCUGAGUUGGAACAAAUCUGGCUUUUCCUACAGGUACCCCUACCGCUGAUCCUAUUGCUGACAUCUAUGUAGAGGCAUGGGGCUUUCCAUUCAACUGAAGACAAAGACACAUGGGAGAUGGCCAUGUGAUGACAGAGGCAGAGACUGGAGUUAUAUGUCUACAAGCCAAGGAAUUCCAAGGGUUGCCAGCAACCAAGAGAAGCUAGGAGAGAUCCCAGGAACAUAUUCUCCUCAGAGCCUCCAAAGACCAACCCUGUCAACACCUUGAUUUUGAACUUCUGUAAUUUGUGCUAAUUCAUUACGACAGCCCUAGGAAACUAAUGAACUUAAUACCUGGACUCCUGAUCCUGCAGCUGGCAUAAGCCGGUGCUCAGCAGAAGCCGGUGGAGCAGUCUGAGGCUGUGGAUGUUCCUUACAAGAAUCUGAUCUGGAUCUUGGCCGAACGCGGUGGCUCACACCUGUAAUCCUAGCACUCUGGGAGGCCGAGGCAGGCGGAUUGUUUGAGCUCAGGAGU